GAUGAACGCUGGCGGCGUGCCUAAUACAUGCAAGUCGAGCGAACAGACGAGGAGCUUGCUCGUCUGACGUUAGCGGCGGACGGGUGAGUAACACGUGGAUAACCUACCUAUAAGACUGGGAUAACUUCGGGAAACCGGAGCUAAUACAGGAUAAUAUAUUGAAACGGAUGGUUCAAUAGUGAAAGACGGUUUUGCUGUCACUAAUAGAUGGUUCCGAGCCGCAUUAGCUAGUUGGUAGGGUAACGGCUUACCAAGGCAACGAUGCGUAGCCGACCUGAGAGGGUGAUCGGCCACACUGGAACUGAGACACGGUCCAGACUCCUACGGGAGGCAGCAGUAGGGAAUCUUCCGCAAUGGGCGAAAGCCUGACGGAGCAACGCCGCGUGAGUGAUGAGGGUCUUCGGAUCGUAAAACUCUGUUAUUAGGGAAGAACAAAUGUGUAAGUAACUAUGCACGUCUUGACGGUACCUAAUCAGAAAGCCACGGCUAACUACGUG
rnacentral:rRNA from 1 species